rnacentral:rRNA from 1 species
GAUGAACGCUAGCGGGAGGCCUAACACAUGCAAGCCGAGCGGUAUUUGUUCUUCGGAACAGAGAGAGCGGCGCACGGGUGCGGAACACGUGAGCAACCUGCCUUUAUCUGGGGGAUAGCCUUUCGAAAGGAAGAUUAAUACCCCAUAAUAUAUUGAGUGGCAUCAUUUGAUAUUGAAAACUCCGGUGGAUAGAGAUGGGCACGCGCAAGAUUAGAUAGUUGGUGAGGUAACGGCUCACCAAGUCAAUGAUCUUUAGGGGGCCUGAGAGGGUGAUCCCCCACACUGGUACUGAGACACGGACCAGACUCCUACGGGAGGCAGCAGUGAGGAAUAUUGGACAAUGGGUUAGCGCCUGAUCCAGCCAUCCCGCGUGAAGGACGACGGCCCUAUGGGUUGUAAACUUCUUUUGUAUAGGGAUAAACCUACUCUCGUGAGAGUAGCUGAAGGUACUAUACGAAUAAGCACCGGCUAACUCCGUG